UACGUAGGUCCCGAGCGUUGUCCGGAUUUAUUGGGCGUAAAGCGAGCGCAGGUGGUUUAUUAAGUCUGGUGUAAAAGGCAGUGGCUCAACCAUUGUAUGCAUUGGAAACUGGUAGACUUGAGUGCAGGAGAGGAGAGUGGAAUUCCAUGUGUAGCGGUGAAAUGCUUAGAGAUCAUACAGAACACCGAUUGCGAAGGCAGCUUACCAAUCUAUAUCUGACGUUGAGGCACGAAAGCGUGGGGAGCAAACAGG
rnacentral:rRNA from 1 species